GGACGAACGCCGGCGGCGUGCUUAACACAUGCAAGUCGAGCGAGAACCAGGGCUUCGGCCCUGGGGACAGCGGCGAACGGGUGAGUAACACGUGGGUAACCUGCCCUCGGCACCGGGAUAGCCCGGGGAAACCCGGAUUAAUACCGGAUGGCCUCACGAGCUCUCGAGCUCGUGAGAAAAGGUGGCUUCGGCUUCCGGCUGAGGAUGGGCCCGCGGCCGAUUAGCUUGUUGGUGGGGUAACGGCCCACCAAGGCGACGAUCGGUAGCUGGUCUGAGAGGACGAUCAGCCACACUGGGACUGAGACACGGCCCAGACUCCUACGGGAGGCAACAGUGGGGAAUCUUGCGCAAUGGGCGAAAGCCUGACGCAGCGACGCCGCGUGCGGGAAGAAGGCCUUCGGGUUGUAAACCGCUUUCAUGAGGGACGAAGCCACUCGGGUUAAUAGCCCAGAGGGUGACGGUACCUCCAGAAGAAGCCCCGGCUAACUUACUUGCCAGCAGCCGCGGUAA
rnacentral:rRNA from 1 species